rnacentral:pre_miRNA from 1 species
GGGUGCAUUACUGGGUGAAUCUCCUUUGGAAGGCAACUAAAACUCGGUUACAUCGCAUGUUGGCAUGCAUGUGGUGGGCGACAUGCGAUGGCGAUGCCUAGCUCACUGCCAAAGGAGAUUUGCCCCGCAAUUCAGCC